UUGAACGCUGGCGGCAUGCCUUACACAUGCAAGUCGAACGGCAUUGCGGGAAAGCUUGCUUUCCUGGCGGCGAGUGGCGAACGGGUGAGUAACACAUCGGAACGUACCGGCUAGUGGGGGAUAACCCGUCGAAAGACGGGCUAAUACCGCAUACGCUCUUCGGAGGAAAGCAGGGGACCUUUGGGCCUUGCGCUAGCCGAGCGGCCGAUGUCCGAUUAGCUAGUUGGUGGGGUAAAGGCCUACCAAGGCGACGAUCGGUAGCGGGUCUGAGAGGACGAUCCGCCACACUGGGACUGAGACACGGCCCAGACUCCUACGGGAGGCAGCAGUGGGGAAUCUUGGACAAUGGGGGCAACCCUGAUCCAGCAAUGCCGCGUGGGUGAAGAAGGCCUUCGGGUUGUAAAGCCCUUUCGGCAGGGAAGAAAUCGGCGGGGCGAAUAACCCUGCUGGAUGACGGUACCUGCAGAAGAAGCACCGGCUAACUACGUG
rnacentral:rRNA from 1 species